rnacentral:rRNA from 1 species
UACGAAGGGGGCUAGCGUUGUUCGGAAUUACUGGGCGUAAAGCGCAUGUAGGCGGCUAUUCAAGUCGGGGGUGAAAUCCCAGGGCUCAACCCUGGAACUGCCUUCGAUACUGUUUAGCUCGAGUGUGGAAGAGGUUGGUGGAACUGCAAGUGUAGAGGUGAAAUUCGUAGAUAUUUGCAAGAACACCAGUGGCGAAGGCGGCCAACUGGUCCAUUACUGACGCUGAGAUGCGAAAGCGUGGGGAGCAAACAGG